GGAUGGAAGAUGAAUGGGGACCUUCAGGAUUAGACCCAUGGACAAGCUGGAGGGAUGGGACGGGAUCCACAGCUGGGGAUGCUGUGGGGCGUAGUCAGAGGUGUUCCAGCUCUGAUGAGGAAAGUGAUGAGGAAACGCCCGGGUUAAGGAGGGCAGCUGAUAGUGAUGAGGAUUUGUAACUGGCAUAAAAUGAGGCUUGGGAGCAAUUGCAAAUUGCGUUGGGCAAGGUAAUCUGGACGAACGCUUGGGAUCUGUGUGGGACGCUUUCCUGAAGACUGGUGUGUUUUCGUGUACUGAUACCUUUGACCUUCCGUCGUCUUCUUGACGGACGCCAUCUCCUGCUUUGGAUUUCGGACUGAACUGACCACGGCUUGACUUCCCCCUACUCGGACUUGGUGAAACUACAAACGUCUGCUUCUGGCUUGAACUACGGAAAGGAACUGGGUCUACUCUACUGCUUCAAUCCUCGGCUGAUCUGUGUGUAUUGGAAAUCUUGCCUGCUGUGUGGAGGAGUGACUCAGGUUACUCAAAGCACAGUGCUGGCAGCAGAGAGGAAUCUGCUGCCAAUUAGCUGCAUUCUUUUGAACACUUUGUUCCCCGGCUUUUGUUUUGUUUAUCUCCAGGCUGAAGCAAGCUGUUUGUUUUUACCCGGAUUAAACUUCGGUUUAAUCCGGUUUAUCUUUUGAGCGUUUUUCCUUGCCCCUUUUUGCUUUUAAAGGCUAAUACUGCCUGGCCCUUGUAUUUUACGGGCAUUUUGAGUUCUGUAAUCCAAUAAACUCUGUUAUCUUUGA